UACGUAGGGGGCAAGCGUUGUCCGGAUUCAUUGGGCGUAAAGAGCGUGUAGGCGGCCUGGAAGGUCAGCUGUGAAAACUCGAGGCUCAACCUCGAGACGUCGGUUGAAACCACCUGGCUAGAGUCCGGAAGAGGAGUGUGGAAUUCCCCGGUGUAGCGGUGGAAUGCGCAGAUAUCGGGAAGAACACCCGUGGCGAAGGCGGCUAUUCUGGGACGGUACUGACGCUGAGACGCGAAAACGUGGGGGAGCGAACAGG
rnacentral:rRNA from 1 species